GGGCCUAUAGCUUAGUGGUAAAGCACGCGAAUGGCAUUCGCGGUAUCGGGGUUCGAUUCCCCGUAGGUCCA
rnacentral:tRNA from 4 species